AUAGAUCAAAGAUUAAGGGUCAAAGUGCAGUAUCUGUUCUCAUCAGGUUAAUAUCUGAUACGGGUUGUAUUUGGACCUAAGAUAUUAAACUCAUUUUUGUAAGUUGCAGGAGUGAUUAAAGCCUGCUUCACCUCCGCCGCGGGCCGGCCCGGUAUCGCACUAUCUUCGGGAUCGGCCCACGUAUG